GAUGAAAGAACGUAGCGAAAUGCGAUAAGUAAUGUGAAUUGCAGAAUUCAGUGAAUCAUCGAAUCUUUGAACGCACCUUGCGCUCCUUGGUAUUCCGAGGAGCAUGCCUGUUUGAGUGUCAGUAAAUUCUCAAUCCCCUCUAGCUUUUUGUAGUUGGGACUUGGAUAGUGGAGGUAUUUGCAGGCCCUCUUUGGGGUGUCAGCUCCUCUGAAAUGCAUUAGCAGAACUGUUUGCGAUUCAUUACAGAUGUGAUAAUUAUCUACAUCCAGUGGGUUGCUUUCUGAAUGUUCAGCUGCUAAUUGUCUUAUCCGUGAGACAACUUUUGAACCUUUGACCUCAAAUCAGGUAGGACUACCCGCUGAACUUAAGCAUAUCAAUAAGCGGAGGA
rnacentral:misc_RNA from 1 species